rnacentral:rRNA from 1 species
GUGUCAGCAGCCGCGGUAACACGGGGGGAGCAAGCGUUGUUCGGAAUCACUGGGCGUAAAGGGCGUGUAGGCGGUUAGGUAAGUGGGAUGUGAAAGCCCCCGGCUCACCCGGGGACCUGCAUUCCAAACUGCCUGACUUGAGUAUGGGAGAGGAUAGGGGAAUUCCUGGUGUAGCGGUGAAAUGCGUAGAUAUCAGGAGGAACACCGGUGGCGAAGGCGCCUAUCUGGCCCAAUACUGACGCUGAGGCGCGAAAGCUAGGGGAGCAAACGGGAUUAGAAACCCGCGUAGUCC